rnacentral:rRNA from 1 species
UACAGAGGGGGCAAGCGUUGUUCGGAAUUACUGGGCGUAAAGGGCGCGUAGGCGGCCUGCUAAGUCGAACGUGAAAUCCCUGGGCUCAACCCAGGAACUGCACCUGAAACUACCAGUCUUGAGUGGUGGAGAGGGAAGUGGAAUUCCUGGUGUAGAGGUGAAAUUCGUAGAUAUCAGGAGGAACACCAGUGGCGAAGGCGGCCGCCUGGGCCAGUCCUGACGCUGAGCCGCGAAAGCGUGGGGAGCGAUCCGG